CCCAACACACCAACACCUCUAAUACCAAUUAACCCACUACUACAACCAACCCGAUAUCCACUGAUACAUACAACUACAACAACAGCUACAAGACACAACUUCUCACCGAGAACAAACACCAUAACACACCCAUUACUGUCAAAUCACAUCCAACAACAAAUUAAAAAUUUUAUCAACCGAGACACAUCCUAGACUAUCUUCAGAACAAACAAAGGACCAACAACAACCGAAAAUAACAAUAACCAAACCAAAACUACUAGCACAACUACAGAACAAACGAAACCAAAACGCGAACAGACACAAAGCAAAAAAACAACUACUCAAUAAAAUCCAAAAACAAAAGGCAGGGGAUAA